rnacentral:piRNA from 1 species
GCAGGAAACUCAAUUCCAGGGUCAGUG